CCUACGGGAGGCAGCAGUGGGGAAUUUUGGACAAUGGGCGAAAGCCUGAUCCAGCAAUGCCGCGUGCAGGAAGAAGGCCUUCGGGUUGUAAACUGCUUUUGUACGGAACGAAACGGUCUGCUUUAAUACAGUGGGCUAAUGACGGUACCGUAAGAAUAAGCACCGGCUAACUACGUGCCAGCAGCCGCGGUAAUACGUAGGGUGCGAGCGUUAAUCGGAAUUACUGGGCGUAAAGCGUGCGCAGGCGGUUAUAUAAGACAGUUGUGAAAUCCCCGGGCUCAACCUGGGAAUUGCAUCUGUGACUGUAUGGCUAGAGUACGGUAGAGGGGGAUGGAAUUCCGCGUGUAGCAGUGAAAUGCGUAGAUAUGCGGAGGAACACCGAUGGNGAG
rnacentral:rRNA from 1 species